AGUGAACGCUGGCGGUAGGCCUAACACAUGCAAGUCGAACGGCAGCACAGUAAGAGCUUGCUCUUACGGGUGGCGAGUGGCGGACGGGUGAGGAAUACAUCGGAAUCUACUUUUUCGUGGGGGAUAACGUAGGGAAACUUACGCUAAUACCGCAUACGACCUACGGGUGAAAGCAGGGGAUCUUCGGACCUUGCGCGAUUGAAUGAGCCGAUGUCGGAUUAGCUAGUUGGCGGGGUAAAGGCCCACCAAGGCGACGAUCCGUAGCUGGUCUGAGAGGAUGAACCAGCCACACUGGAACUGAGACACGGCCCAGACCCCUACGGGAGGAAGCAGGGGGAAAUUUUGGAAAAGGGGGGCAAGCCUGACCCACCCAUCCCGCGUGGGUAAAGAAGGCCUGCGGUUUGUAAACCCCUUUUUUGGGGAAAAAAAAGCAGCGGGUUAAUCCCCCGGUGUUCUGAGGGAACCAAAAGAAUAAGCACGGGCUAACUUCGU
rnacentral:rRNA from 1 species